GGCAUUAAAAUGUGAAAAAAUAUGACAUAUAGAUUAUCUUUUGAUCAGAUUAUGUAUCAUCAAAAUCAGUCAAUUUCAAACACAUACAAAAUCAAAGCGAAAGAUUCUCACAUUCAUAACUAGCAAUUUAUAACAGUGCAAUGUCUUUUUAUAGUUUUUCUUGGAGUGCAGUUUUGUUUUUCUGUGGCUACAAAAGAAAAACCUGGCCUCCUGACGUUUACAUGGGAAACCAAAAGGGCAGACAUGUACCACGUAAGAUGUGACUUUGAGUCUGGUGAACAAAUUGCUUUUUUCUCUCUUUAUGCCUACAAAGAUCAAUACAACAGAGAUAAAUAUAAUUUGAUAAAAAGCAGAACGAUAAAUCGGUUUCAGAUUUAUAUCUAUAACGUUACACUUGAAGAUGAAGGUUUGUACUGCUGUGCAUGGUUAAAUGAAGAAUACAGUGAAUUGCAUACAGAAACGGCAGUCCUAAAUAUAACAAAUGAUCUUAUAGUACAAAUACAUGGUGAAACAGCAGUAAUAGAAGGCGAUAUAUUAAAUAUUACAUGUUUCUCUCAAGCCUUUGUACCUUCUACCUUUUUCUGGUAUAACUUAUCACAGCAUGGAUACUGGUAUAGUAUAAACGAAACAGGCGAUUCUUUGAUUAUUGAGUCAGCUGACAGAGAGAAUUCUGGGAAGUAUAAGUGUUUGGCAAAGAAUGAUGUAAUUAGUGGGUCUGCAGAAAUUUCCGUCACAAUUCAAUGUAAUUAUCAACUCAAUGUUUCUCUGAUUCAAAAAUAUCCUACUUUGAGCUUUUAACUAAUAGUAGUAAAUGCAUAUAUGAUCGAUACCUACAUGAAACAGACUCAGAGAUAACGAUCAAAAUCCGAUUAGUUCUAAAUUGCUAGUGACCGUAAGAACCGCAAAUCGGCUUAUUUUGUAAAAAUAUUUCCUUUCUCUAUUUGAACUGUACACGUAUAGCUAACAACAAAAUUAUUUUCAUUUACGUGUGUUCAAAGUAAUUGCAAAUGGCUGAUAUUUUUGUUCGAGCAUAUUGUUUUUCUUAAAUUGUUUAACAUUUCAUAGCGGUAUAACAUGUUACUUUUAUUAUUCUUCCCUUAGUUUAUUGAUUUUGUAUUUACAUUGUAUCAUAGGUCAAAUUUAUUUGUUCAGUGUAUGUUUACUGGUGUUAAUAUGUCCUUUGAUUGAGUUAAGUCAUUUCAAUUGAUAUUUUAUAGUGUGUCUUUCUAUGUUGUGAUGUUACACUAUUGUUUCAGAAAAAGGGUGAAGGUUUGGUACCAUUAAAACGUUUAAACCCGCUGCAAUUGUUUGCACCUGUCCUAAGUCAGGAAUCUGAUGUUAAGUAGUUGUCGUUUGUUCAUGUGGUUCAUAAGUGUUUCUCGUUUCUCGUUUUUUAUAUAGAUUAGACCGUUGGUUUUUCCGUUUGAAUGGUUUUACACUAGUAAUAUUUGGGGCCCUUUAUAGCUUGCUGUUCGGUGUGAGCCAAGGCUCCGUGUUGAAGACCGUACUUUGACCUAUAAUGGUUUACUUUUAUAAAAUUUUACUUGGAUGGAGAGUUGUCUCAUUGGCACUCAUACCACAUCUUCUUAUAUUUAUUAUCAAUUUAUAGUUACUUGUCUAACGCGGCAAAUAUUUCAUGAAUAUAUAAGACAUAAUAUAAUAAGUACGUCUAAACAAGUAACAACUUUACAACAGAUCCAUCCAUUGGAUCACCAGUGAAGGUGAUACACGGCUGAAAACACAUAUUAUAUUCAUAAUUACUCUAAAUAUCAGCACACCAAUGUUAAAUCUGCAAAUUUGCGGAAGCAAAUUCUUGUUCUUCGCUAGCCGGGAUUUUAACUCAUGCUAUUGGGAUAUCGAGACAACACCAUCUGCACUGUGUCCAGCACCCUAGAUCACUCUGCCACCUAGACUGAACUGAACAUAUAUAUAUAUAUGUAUAUCUCUUUGGGCUUCUCAAAUUAAAUAAUAUGUCUUUUCGGUCAUUAAUAUUAAACACUUUUAAAAAACAAAUUUUUCUGAUUUUUUAUAUACUCUACAGAUUAUCAAAUCAUUUCAGAUAAUAGUUAGUCCUCCCACAAAAGAUUUAAAAACAUGUAAACAAAAACACUCACGUGCAAAUUAUCAACUGACUUUAUCAUUGAUUUUUACAUCUUUAUAUUUUAAUUCAAUUUACAAGACCCACCAGAGAUUCAGUUAAUCAACAGAUCAGACUCUGUCGAUUGUAUCGUAAGAGGUGUUCCAAACACUUACACGUUCUACAAAUGGAACCAUGAAUCAGAGUAUGGGGAGCACAUCCGUUAUCUCGAUGGUUUUGCAAAUGGAACGCUUACUUUAGAUAAUACAGAAUAUCCUUAUAUGAGAAAUGGUAUAUAUACGUGUACAGCCAGCAACGGUAUACGUGACAGUAAAGGGAACAAGAAACAAACAGGAUCUCGUCUGAUAAUAAUACCAGGCGAACCUGCAUUUUUGAAUUCAAGUUAUCAAACGAAUGUAUGCAGUCUCAAAAGAAAUUGUGAACUGACAUUUUACGUGUACAGUAACCCAAGAGUUGACAGAGUAGAAUUGAAAAGACUAAACGAACAAGAAAGCAAAAACAUGGUACAGUUUAAAAUAACCUCAGAAAAGUAUAUGCUACCGACCUGUUGGAAAACAUUUCACAUCACCGGCUACAAAGUAGAAAUUAUAACAAGAAUCCUAGAGGAAUAUGAUUUUACUACUUACGAACUAAAUAUUUGGAAUUCAUAUGGUUCAACGUCGUUCAACUUUUCAAUUGUGCCAGUGGAUGAUAUACAAAAGAGCAACAAACUAAAGAUGUAUCUGAUAAUUUUUGUAACUUUAUCAUCCGUACUCUUCCUGUAUAUUGUCACAACUCAUAUUUGGUUUCAUCGACGAAGCAGACAGUCGUCUUUGGAUGGCGAUAAUCAAUACGUAAAUUACGACGAAAUUGGAACAAUCCUUUCACAAUUUAUAAACAUCCGUCCGUUAUCUGAACAGCAGCAACGCAUCGUUCGCAUAGAUGUUGAACACGAACCUACAGCUGAUGCCGAAGAUAGAAAUGACACUUCUGAUUUAUCAUCCAACCAUUCAAGAAUACAUGAAAGUAUUAAUAACCUUCAAUAUUUGUCUUCAAAUGACGCAAUUCAACAGAAUCUUGGUGAAACUGGGACCGACUCAAGAUGUUGAAGUGGACCAAAGACAUAUGCAACCUCUCGAAAAUCAAUUGGCGAAAAGACGUUACAUCAAUCUACAAAUAUAACCUCAUGAUGAUUUGAAGAAUGUGAUUGAAGCACAGUUUAAUCUUAUAACGACCAAAUAAACCUCUGGGCGUGAAUUCUAAAACAUGUAAAAAUAAAAACCUUUACAAAUACGACAAAUAAAUCAUAAGCCAAAGACUGAGCUGUGUAUGAAAUGUUUUGUGUAUUCAGGAAUGCACUACCAUAAAAAAAUGCGUCCAAAACACUUUUGAUUUUAAAUAAAGUACACAGAAGUACUUGACACAGUUCUGAUGAACCUAUGUGCUCUGCAAUGUAUUGUCUUGAUUUUUUGUAUUAUAUUUUUUAUCAUA